UUGAGAAGAACUGAAACUAGGAAAGUUGAGUAAUGGGAGUGUCAAGGGACCCAGGACAGAGUCUGCUUGUUGUGCGUCUUUCAUGUGAUGGUAAGUCCUGUACAGCCAGAGGAGGAGACUCAGAAGAGGCUUGGGGAAACAAGUCUACUAUCCUCACAGGUCCUAGAGACAGCAGGCCACGCAGGGCCACGUGCAAAGACAAGAGGAUUGUCAGAAGGCAGAGGACAGGAGCCUUCACUGGGGCUUCCCAAGGAAGACGGGUAAGGCAGGGUGAACAAUUUUGGCUUGGCUAAUUUGAAAAAUUCCAGCAGGCUGUGAGGCAUAGGGGUGGUCCCUCAUUGUCUGGCGCGUGGCUCUGGGAUGAUUAAAGCAAGUGGAUAUUGCUUCCUGGCUGCUGGAGCCAGAGAGAAGACCUGGCUCUGGAUCGAGUAGUUCACAUCUCAGAGGCAUGCUCCCUGCCCUGGAGCCCUGUGUUGUCUCUAAGAAUCCACUAAUCUGGAGGCCAGCAGUCUCUCCCCAGACAAAAGAAAUUUUAAGAUGUCAAAACAUCAUAACAUACAGAGACUAUCAUAUGAGUGCAUGCACACACGUGCACAUACAAUUCCAGGUGCACAGAGAGUGCUUAGCGGACGUUUGCUGUGCAUGACUGGUUUGUGUGUGAAGGACAGAGGAGCAGGUAGGGAGGGAGGCUCUCCAAGUAUUACCCAUCCCCUUGUUGCUCUCAGGGAACUGUGUUCUUCCUCAUCUUACAUUAUAAAUAACUACUUUCAAGUUUAUUACUAACAUUGUUGACUGUCCCCUCAAAAGGCAAAUUGGCUGGAAGUAUAAAUAAAUUUAAGCAAGCAAGUUUCAGGUAUGUUCAGGGUGAGACAUCCACAAGAGGUAUGAGGACAUUGCUCCUUCCUUUCCAUUGGGGGUGACAGUAGGGCCGACCUGCUGGGCACCUGCUCCACCUUCUCACCAACCUUAACUUGGUGGGGAAGUGCAGUGUGACCAGCAGAAAAUCCAACAC
rnacentral:lncRNA from 1 species